CAUGUGGCCCUGGUCUCACCCUCUUAACUGUAAAAUGAGAGCUUGGUCCCAGGUGGUGGUAGUCAUCGUCCCCGGUCAGUGCUGCCUCUACAGUGGUUAUCGUCAUUGACACGAGACACACACGUGUGCAGAUUUUGUGCCUGAUCUCUUGAAUAGAUCCACAUGUCUCUUCCCUGGACUUUCUCCUGAUCUUCAAGUUCUAUUUCUUUAGGCACCUGUCCAACUCCUCUUCUCCUCCCCAAGAUGUACAGAUUUGAGCUGAAAGUAAGGAAUUUGUGCUCAAGAGGUAUAGUGGAUAGUGUCCUGUGUCAUCCAAGAAGAGACCACAGAGCCUGCAGAACUGAUACAGAGGAGAAGGCCAUGUGAAGACAGAGGCGGACUGGAGUGAUGCUGCCACAAGCCAAGGAACACCUGGAGUCACUAGUAGCUGGAAGAGGCAAGGAUUCUUUCCUAUAGCCUUCAGAGGGACUAUGACCCUGCUGACACCUUGGUUUUGGACUUCUAGCCUCCAUAAUUAUGAAAGAAUAAAUUUAUGUUGUUUUAAACCA
rnacentral:lncRNA from 1 species